rnacentral:rRNA from 1 species
UUAAUAUAAACUGCCCACUGAAAAUAAAUGGCCGCAGUAAAACUAACUGUGCAAAGGUAGCAUAAUAAAUAGUCUAGUAAUUUUAGAAUUGGAUGAAUGUUUAAACGUAAAGAUUACUAUCUUUUUGAAAAUUAAAAAAUUCUAUUUUUGUCCAAAAGCAAAGAUUUCUUGGGAAGACGAUAAGACCCUAGAAGUUCAAAUAUUAACUGGGAUGGUAUUUUUCUGAACCAUUUUUUAAACAAGAAACUUUAGAACCUUUCUUUUAAACUACUCUAGGGAUAACAGCAUAAAAAUUUUUAUUAGACCAAAUAUACAAAAUUUUUAUGACCUCGAUGUUGAAUUAAUUUUAUCUACUUUAAGUAUCUUUAAAAAAAGAAAGUCUGUUCGACUUUUAAAUAAUUA